rnacentral:rRNA from 1 species
UGUGUAGGCGGCCGCGCAAGUCGGAUGUGAAAGCCCUGGGCUCAACCCAGGAAGUGCACCCGAUACUGCAUGGCUCGAGUACCGGAGAGGUUGGUAGAAUUCUCGGUGUAGAGGUGAAAUUCGUAGAUAUCGAGAGGAAUACCUGUGGCGAAGGCGGCCAACUGGACGAGUACUGACGCUGAGACACGAAAGCGUGGGGAGCAAACAGGAUUAGAUACCCUGGUAGUCCACGCCGUAACGAUGGGUGCUAGGUGCUGUAGGCUUUGACUCCUGCGGUGCCGUAGCUAACGCAUUAAGCACCCGCCUGGAGUACGGCCGCAGGCUAAA